GACCUGGCUGGGCGGUCUUGCCGAAAGGUAAGCACUGCUCUGGUCGGGUCUUUCCUUCUGGGGAACCAGCGUGCUCUUCAUUGAGUGCACUGGGGAUCCAGAACUUUUACUUUGAAAAAAUUAGAGUGUUUAAAGCAGGCUCACGCUUGAAUACAUUAGCAUGGAAUAACGAAAUAGGAC
rnacentral:rRNA from 1 species